CCCUCCAUUUUGUGAUUCUCUCUCUCAGUUAGUUCUAGUUUGUUAAAGUUAACUAAUCAAAAACAUGAUUUCACAACUGAUCACUUACAAAAAGACAGCACACUACACCUCUGUACUUUAUUACAUUCUACUCAUCUUUCUUCCAUUCCUUCUAUGGCUUCUCUUCUAAUUCAACCAAUCAACUUCACUAAAAUGAAAAAGCACACAGUGAUACUAGGUCAUCUUGCUCCAGUGUUUUGUCUCAUUUGAUU
rnacentral:lncRNA from 1 species